rnacentral:rRNA from 1 species
UGAAGAAGUUUUCGGAUCGUAAAGCUCUGUUGUUGGUGAAGAAGGAUAGAGGCAGUAACUGGUCUUUAUUUGACGGUAAUCAACCAAGAAAGUCACGGCUAACUACGUGCCAGCAGCCGCGGUAAUACGUAGGUGGCAAGCGUUGUCCGGAUUUAUUGGGCGUAAAGCGAGCGCAGGCGGAAUGAUAAGUCUGAUGUGAAAGCCCACGGCUCAACCGUGGAACUGCAUCGGAAACUGUCAUUCUUGAGUGCAGAAGAGGAGAGUGGAACUCCAUGUGUAGCGGUGGAAUGCGUAGAUAUAUGGAAGAACACCAGUGGCGAAGGCGGCUCUCUGGUCUGCAACUGACGCUGAGGCUCGAAAGCAUGGGUAGCGAACAGGAUUAGAUACCCUGGUAGUCCAUGCCGUAAACGAUGAGCGCUAGGUGUUGGGGACUUUCCGGUCCUCAGUGCCGCAGCAAACGCAUUAAGCGCUCCGCCUGGGGAGUACGACCGCAAGGUUGAAACUCAAAGGAAUUGACGGGGGCCCGCACAAGCGGUGGAGCAUGUGGUUUAAUUCGAAGCAACGCGAAGAACCUUACCAGGUCUUGACAUCCUGCGCUACACCUAGAGAUAGGUGGUUCCCUUCGGGGACGCAGAGACAGGUGGUGCAUGGCUGUCGUCAGCUCGUGUCGUGAGAUGUUGGGUUAAGUCCCGCAACGAGCGCAACCCUUGUCUUUAGUUGCCAUCAUUAAGUUGGGCACUCUAAAGAGACUGCCGGUGACAAACCGGAGGAAGGUGGGGAUGACGUCAAGUCAUCAUGCCCCUUAUGACCUGGGCUACACACGUGCUACAAUGGGCAGUACAACGAGAAGCGAACCCGCGAGGGUAAGCGGAUCUCUUAAAGCUGCUCUCAGUUCGGACUGCAGGCUGCAACUCGCCUGCACGAAGCUGGAAUCGCUAGUAAUCGCGGAUCAGCACGCCGCGGUGAAUACGUUCCCGGGCCUUGUACACACCGCCCGUCACACCAUGGAAGUCUGCAAUGCCCAAAGUCGGUGAGAUAACC